rnacentral:lncRNA from 1 species
AUUGAUUGGAUUAUAUUAUUUGAAAUUGAUUGGAUUAUGUUGAACUUGAGAUUAUUUGAGAAAUGCUAUCUUAUCGAGAGUUCAACUCUUUGAUUUCCAUUUCCUUCGAAUAGUAAUUAUUGAGUAAUCGGUAUGAAAUUCUUUGAAGCCGAUCGUUUUCCUUCAAGUUCUAUUCAAUUAUCUAAACUUCAUAUCUUGAAACAUCGAGCCCUCUUUGAAGCCCUUCAUUUGAUCCUGUUUCUCAUAAAUUCUAUUGUGUUUGAAAUCCUGAAAUAAUGAAACAAUACGGUCUUCUUAUAUGAUCGAUAAAGUCUUUCUGGGAUUUAGACCCGUACAGUACCCACAUAGGUUUAUACCCGUACACAACUGGAGGUUAGUUCGGUUUCGGGCUAAACCGGCAUGCGCCCGGGCAUGCCACAUUGCAUUACAGGGUCAUUCCCUGCUCGGUGAAUAAGGUAGUAAACGGCUACGGGAGUCACAAGGUAGGUGUAUUCUUAUCUCUAUUGAUCGGAAAAUCUAUUGAUUAGUCUUACUUUUAUUCUUGAAUUUCCAAUGAAAAUAUAAUCUUUAAACGCUUCUAUUUUCCAAUAUCACCUAAUGGUACGAUCAUUGAACUUUCUCUCAGAUCAUGUCGUAACUCGUUAUUCUUAUAUUUUACCUUAAGUCUUCUAUGACUUAUCCCUCUAUUUUAUUUUGUCAUAUUCUCAGACUCAGGUGCAAGCUUGAAUGAAUCAGGGGAUUCCCGUCCGAGUAGCUGCCUUGUUUAUAUUUGUAAAAUAGUUGUUCGAUUAAGUUAAGAAUAACUGCUGUCUUGUAUUGUAAAUAUCAGCAUUUGAACUUAUUUAUGUUAUAGUAUUGUAAUCUCGUAAGCUAGAAGCUGAUGUUAUAACUGUUCGGAACCUUUGUACUUUACCUUGCUAGACGUAAGGUUGUCGAUAAAUAAAUCAUACAUAUUUUUAUGAGCUAUAGAUUG